rnacentral:lncRNA from 1 species
GAGCUUCGGGAUUCCGCCUACCCGGUAGCGGCUGUUUAGACCCAGACCGGCCCCUGCGCGAUAUGAGCACCGCUCAGGACUGCAGCUGUUGGGCACCAGCAGCCAGGUCUGCAGGCUCCGCGAAGCCUGGCCCGGACCGUAGCUUCUGCAAGCAGUCCAGGUGUAUCCUGGGGUCACUGGAGGGCAGAGCCUGCUCAGAGCGAGUACAGAAGCAGCCCAGGUCUUCCCAGCACCAGGUUCACUGGAAGUGCCAGGCCACCACCUCCUUCAUGCUCCUCUGUGAUCACCUCUCCAAGUCCCGGUGUCAGGAGCCUUCUCUGUGGCCGCCCUGGAGAGACUUGAGCCUGGGACGUGACGUGCUGGGCUGUGAAGCUUUCUGAGAAGGGAAACCUGUGGCCUGACCUGCCUGAAUGCUGCACCCAACCUCAUCUCUUCCUGGGAGAAACCAACAACUGUCAGCAUUGACACCAUCAGGCCUUUCUCUUCUAAUUUAACCUUGCAGCCAACCACACGGCUAUCUGUGCGGGAUCUCUCCCCAAGCUCAAGGACAUGAGAUGCGGAUCAGGCCCAAGAGGCUGGAUGCCAAACCUAUCCUCUCCAUGUGAAGCACCAACUUGGGGGUGUCAACUAAAAAUAUGAGACCCGUAAACUUGGAAAGGAAGACUUUAUUUCUUGAGAAGGGUUGCAAACUGCAGGCUGGGAAGUGGCACCUCCAGCUGAGACCACAAACAGUGGACUUUCUCAAACUGGGGUAUUGACCUCUGAUGAACCGCCAUGCAAACCCGUGCCUUUCAACAUAAAAAGAAGCCCUUCGAGGUGCUCACCUUCAAGCUUGCUAGAGGAGGAGGAAGAGCAGUCUUCAAGAGGCCUGGCCAGGUGGAAUGCCCCCCAGUCUGAGUUUGUCUGGUGCUUCCUUACCAUGAGACUGGGGUCUUGGAGUUUUGAGGUUUUGGAAAGACACCUCAGAAGUUAAGUAUCUUUCUUGUCACAUUGCAUUAGGGGGGUACAUGGUAUCAAUAUCUCUUUUCUCUGGUGAUGUAAAACUUGAUCAUUUGAAUAAUGUAGUCUUUCAUGGUUUUUUUAUCCACUGUAAAGUUGCUAUGUGUUCCUCCCUCUACUGUAGUCUUUGGAAAGGAGUCACCAAGUCAGCCCACCCUUAAAGAGGGAGAAUAUUUAGUCUCCACCUCCCGGAAGAAGGAGCAUCCAUAUGUAUUAUUUGCAAUUUGUCUGUAAGAUAGGUUUGUCUACCCCAUUAAAAAGUGGGCAAAGGAUAUGAACAUACACUUCUCAAAAAAAGACAUACAUAUGGCCAACAAACAUGGGAAAAAGAGCUCAACAUUACUAUCAUUAAAGAAUUGCAAAUCAAAACCACAAUGAGAUACCAUCUCAUGCCAGUCAGAAUGGCGAUUAUUAAAAAGUCAAGAAACAACAAAUGCUGGCGAGGUUGCAGAGAAAUAGGAAUGCUUUUACUCUGUUGGUGGGAAUGUAAAUUAGUUCAACCAUUGUGGAAGACAGUGUGGCAAUCCCUGUAAGAUUUAGGACCAGAAAUACCAUUUGACCCAGCAAUGCCAUUACUGCGUAUAUACCCAAAGGAAUAUAAAUCAUUCUACUGUAAAGAUACAUGUAUGCAUACAUAUGUUCUUUGCAGCACUAUUUGCAGUAGCAAAGACAUAGAAUCAAUCUAAAUGCUCAUCAAUAAUAGACUGGAUAAAGAAAAUGUGGUACAUAUAUACCAUGGAAUACUAUGCAGCCAUAGAAAGGAAUUAGAUCAUGUCCUUUGCAGGGACAUGGAUGAAGCUGGAAGCCAUUAUUCUCGGCAAACUAAGGCAGGAACAGAAAACCAAACACUGUAUGUUCUCACUUAUAAGUAGCAGCUGAACAACGAGAACAUAUGGACAGGGGGAGGGGAUUAACACACACUGGGCCCUGUCAGGGGAGGGUGUGAGGGGAGAGCAUUAGGGAAAAGAGCUAAUGCAUGCUGGGCUUAAUACCUGGAUGAUGGGUUGAUAGGUGCAACAAACCACCCUGGCACACGUUUAUUUAUGUAACAAACCUCCACAUCCUGCACAUGUACCCCGGAACUUAAAAAAUAAAUAAAAUAAUUAUUUUUAAAAAGA